AAAGAGGAAAAGUUUUCCCGUUACAGUGUGUGUCUUUUGGGCUGACUAACAAUUACCUUUGUGCACAGGCGGAGAAGGAGGAAGCCCCCCUUGUCUUUCCUGGACGGGACCUCGCUGAUUGUACAAGCGGUGGAUUGACUGAGUGGAGGAGAUCAUCGCUUUCGACUUGUGGUGUGAUAUAUGUUUUUCCAUGUGGCUCUACAGCGGAGAAGAUGGAAAUGCCCUGGCUUGCCUUGACGGGACAGAACACAGC